rnacentral:rRNA from 1 species
CCUACGGGUGGCAGCAGUGAGGAAUAUUGGUCAAUGGACGAGAGUCUGAACCAGCCAAGUAGCGUGAAGGAUGACUGCCCUAUGGGUUGUAAACUUCUUUUAUAUGGGAAUAAAAUGUUCCACGUGUGGGAUUUUGUAUGUACCAUAUGAAUAAGGAUCGGCUAACUCCGUGCCAGCAGCCGCGGUAAUACGGAGGAUCCGAGCGUUAUCCGGAUUUAUUGGGUUUAAAGGGAGCGUAGGUGGAUUGUGAAGUCAAUUGUGAAAGUUUGCGGCUCAACCGUAAGAUUGCAGUUGAAACUGGCAGUCUUGAGUGCACUAGAAGUGAGCGGAAUGCGUGGUGUAGCGGUGAAAUGCUUAGAUAUCACGAAGAACUCCGAUUGCGAAGGCAGCUCACUGGAGUGCAACUGACACUGAGGCUCGAAAGUGUGGGUAUCGAACAGGAUUAGAUACCCUAGUAGUC